rnacentral:rRNA from 1 species
GAGCGCCCAGCAAUGGGAGCGGCGGACGGGUGAAUAACGCGUGGGAAUAUGCCCUUUGGUUCGGAACAACUCAGGGAAACUUGAGCUAAUACCGGAUGAGCCAGUAAUGGGAAAGAUUUAUCGCCAAAGGAUUAGCCCGCGUCCGAUUAGCUAGUUGGUGGGGUAAUGGCCUACCAAGGCGACGAUCGGUAGCUGGUCUGAGAGGACGACCAGCCACACUGGGACUGAGACACGGCCCAGACUCCUACGGGAGGCAGCAGUGGGGAAUCUUGGACAAUGGGGGAAACCCUGAUCCAGCCAUGCCGCGUGAGUGAUGAAGGCCCUAGGGUUGUAAAACUCUUUCGGCGGGGACGAUAAUGACGGUACCCGCAGAAGAAGCUCCGGCUAACUUCGUG